CCAGACUCCUACGGGAGGCAGCAGUGAGGAAUAUUGGUCAAUGGGCGGGAGCCUGAACCAGCCAAGUCGCGUGAGGGAAGACGGUCCUACGGAUUGUAAACCUCUUUUGCCGGGGAGCAACGGGGUCCUUGCGAGGGCCCAAUGAGAGUACCCGGAGAAAAAGCAUCGGCUAACUCCGUGCCAGCAGCCGCGGUAAUACGGAGGAUGCGAGCGUUAUCCGGAUUUAUUGGGUUUAAAGGGUGCGUAGGCGGGCUGUUAAGUCAGCGGUCAAAUGUCGGGGCUCAACCCCGUCCGGCCGUUGAAACUGGGGGCCUUGAGUGGGCGAGAAGAAGGCGGAAUGCGUGGUGUAGCGGUGAAAUGCAUAGAUAUCACGCAGAACUCCGAUUGCGAAGGCAGCGCGCCGGCGCCCUACUGACGCUCAGGCACGAAAGCGUGGGUAUCGAACAGGAUUAGUACCCCCGUAUCU
rnacentral:rRNA from 1 species